rnacentral:rRNA from 1 species
CAAUAGCGUAUAUUAAAGUUGUUGCAGUUAAAAAGCUCGUAGUUGAAAUUAAGUGUUGCCUGAGUUUUCUCAAGGCACACAAACUCCCGGUGCGGCACUCCUCCAUUGAUUUGAAGGUGUGUCUGUCCGGGUCGUUUACUGUGAACAAAUUAGAGUGUUCAAAGCAGAUCGAUGUUCGAAUAUGUUAGCAUGGAAUGAUGAGAUAUAGCUUGCAGGGUAAGUUAGCGACCCUGUGAGCAAUGAUUGAUAGGAACUGUUGUGGGUAUUCGUAUGAACAUGUCAGAGGUGAAAUUCUUGGAUUUUGGUCAGACGAACAACUGCGAAANCANNNACCAAGGAUGUUUUCAUNAA